rnacentral:misc_RNA from 1 species
CUCUCCUUCCCUCUCUCUCUAGAUAUGACUUUCAACUUCCAACUACUCUGAUGCCCUUCUUAUUUCAUGUGCAUCAUCUGUAUCGCCUUAUGAGAUAAUCUGCUUCUCUCUGUAUCGUCUUCUUCAAUUACUCACUUUCACUCAUGGCUCCUAGCAAGCUCAAUUCCACUGUAUUCAAUCAUUCUCUUUCUAUAUAUGUUUGCAUGCGAGCUUUUCUGCUUUUUCUUUUUAUUCUUCUCAUUUAUGUCUCAGGUCUCGAUUUUUAUGGUUUCUUGGCUUUUAAUGUUACUGAUCAUGAGUUUUGGAUCUGUUUUGUAAUUUUAUGAUUGUUUUCACUACCUCAGAAUUGUUGCUACUAGUGUCAGUUGGGCAUUUUCUGCGUUUUGAAUGAUUUAUGCACUUGGGUUAUUCAAUUCAGUUUCAUUUAUGCAAUUUAGAGAUAGUGCCACCUGGGAAGUCCAAUGCGAUGGUUUUUGUGUGACUUGGAAUCUCUGUUUGUUGAAGUAUUUGCUGGGAAACUUUCAAAAGUUGUGAUGGAUCAAAAUUGUUAGAAUGGUGAAGUGGGAAAGUUAUAUCCUUUAUAGAAUUUUAGGGCCAGAUUUUGGUUGAUAAGCGGAUUUUGUUUAUGAAACAUGUUACUUCUUUCCUUGGUGAUCAUGAUGGAGAGAAAUUGUUGUUUUUAUCUUGUUGAUUCAAUGCUUUUAUAUUUAUUCCUCAAAUGCUAUGGGUCUUCCUUGAGUUCCACAAGUCCACCAUCUCAAUUGCAAAAAUGAUUGAAAGCCUAGUAGGUGACCUUUUUGAGCUUCAGGUUCUGAAUUUGGUAUGAUUUUGAAGGUUUAUUUUUUUACUGUUAUAAGUUUAUUCAGAAAUUCCCGUGUAUUUAAUACUAUGAAUCAUGAAUAUUUAAGUGAUUGAAUGUAAUGGGUAAAUGAUGAACUAGGACAUUGUUUGUUUAGCAUAGUUUUUCUUUUUAGUGCUUCUCAAUCUUGCAUGAAUAGUAUGCAUUUUUAUUUUCUUUUCCCUACCCCCACCGUCUUUCCCUCUUCCCAGUAACUUUAUUUAGCCUUCUUCUUCCUCCAUUUCCUGAUGGCCAGUCAUGUAUUCGUUCUCCUUGGUUAAAUGACUAGUAUAUUAUGAUAAUUUAUACUUUCU